ACAGUAGCCAUGCUUUCUCCUUUCUUGCAUGUCAAAUCAAGCCUAUUUCUCUUUCAUUUUUUUGUUACUUAAUCUCUCCUCUUCAAGUGGCAAUCAUACUCUUUUCUUUUUUUCUUUUUUUUUUGGAUACAAUAGAAUUUAUUUUAGACCUAUUCCUACUUUAUGCUAGGAGGAAAGAAGAUCUAAAAAAGUCCAAGAAAAAUUCAGAAGGGACUAAAUCAUCAACUCAAAUGGGUGCAUAGACAUCCGCUCGCAAAUUUUUCCAAAAAAGCCUGAAUUUUUAAGAAUAAUUUGAUCAAAUUCCUUAAUCUAUAUAAGUAGAGUUAUAAAAUUCUUUUGAUGACUAACUACUCUAACAAUAGUUCACGUGGCAAUCAUAUUCUAAAAGGGUGAAAUGUGGAAUUCUUGGUUACUAUUAGCUAUUUGUACUUGCAGACAUGAAACCACAAAGCUUUCCAUAGAUUAGGUGUAAAUUUUUGCCCUAAAAGUCACGGAUUUUUUUGGCCCAAAAAAUUGUCCGUCAUCUGAUUCACUAAGCCCAUACGAACCCUUAUUUCUCAACCUUCAGAUCUUUGCCAACGAUCUCAAAAUUUUACUCUCUCGACUUCGAUUUGAUGGCUGCGUAUUUAGAAGGAAGUAGAAUCAGUACUAAAAAGCGGAGGAAGAAAAGGGUGCUUGCGGCUUUAUAGGAUAUGUAUGUCUUAUUUCAAAAUCCGUUUUGUUUUACUUAUUGGCCGGAAGUGCUCCCCUCACGCGCAUAGGCUACAAGAAUGUUGAAUCAAAUUUUCAUUUGGGCCUUUUAUCAAACGGAUUGUAGGUACAAGAAAGAUUGAAGAUUUUGUAAGAAAUAAUAUAGUAGUCAGCCCGAAAUUUUGCAGAAAGCUAAACUCAUUCAAACACAAUCACAGAACAUUGAAAUUUCAACAAAUAUCACAUAGAGAAAUUAAAAGGCAAGAAGACACGUGACAUUUCAUUUUUAGAAAAUAACAGAGUAACAGCAGCAAAAGGGUUAAGGAAUUUUUACAGUGAUUUUCCAACUCACGGUGGUGGUGGCUGAUUCCAGCGAGUGGCGGCAGCUCCAGCCGCAUUGGCACGUUUUUGGAUGGAAUCUGAUUCCUUCUUAUUUUAGGCGAAACAUGGUAGGAGAUUCCUUAGCAGUUCCCUUGUUUUGUUUCCUAAUCAGAAUCAACACUAACCAAAUACAAAAAAAAAAAAGAACUCUUUACUAAAGAAUUCUUUUCCUUUUCGUCACUGGUUUCCUAGAGCCAGACAGGCCCUACUGAACCCAACUUUCCCGUUAGCCUGGUGUUUUAUUGGCAUGACAGAGAAACCCUUGAAGACUUACCCAACCUAAUCUAGGAUUGUUAUGUAAAAGGGUGCCUCCACAGCUUCGAUCACAACCUAUUUGAGAAAAAGCCUCUAUGAACUCGAAGCCCAGAAAUUCUAAAGUUACCAGAGGAAGCUCUGAUGAAGAUAGAAUCAGCAACUUGCCUGAAUCCAUCCUCUGCCACAUUCUCUCGUUCCUUCCCACAAAAUUUGCAGCUGCCACAUUCGUUCCGUCCACUAGGUGGAGGUAACUGUUCAAAAAAUGAGCUUAAAUCAAAGUGGUCUGGUGCCUUUUGUUCCCUUGCUUCCUGGAAAGCAUCAUUGGAAGUUUGAUUUUGGGGGAUUUGAUCUGAUGGGUACUUUUUUGAUAAAGAAAAUGGAGUUGCUGGUGGUGGAAGUUACAUCGAUUAAUCUUAAUACCAUGAAAGAUGAACUUCUCAUGCAAACACUAAACCUGUUUUUCCCUUUUUCAGAGCAGCAAUCUAUUGCAUCUCCAAGACCGGGCAUCCUUACCAUUGAUUAAUCAAAUGCAACUUGUGUAAAGAGGUUGGCAUCUAUUGGACUUGAUAAUACAGAAGUCAACAGGCAGGCUUACAAACAACUUUUAUUGACCACUCCUGGCCUCAGUGAUUAUAUCUCUGGUGUCAUUCUCUUUGAGGAGACACUUUAUCAAUCAACCACUGAUGGCAAGAAAUUUGUGGAUUGAUCACGUGAUGAGAAUAUUAUACCUAGAAUCAAAGAUGACAAGGUGUGAUUGAUCUGAUAGUUUUAGAUAUUGAAAUUAUGGUGUUUGUCACACAUUUUUAAAUCUCUCACUUUUCUGGACAGGGUUUUGUCUCCCUUACCAGGAUCCAACAAUGAAUCAUGGUGCCAAGGUUUAGAUGGAUUGGCUUCUAGAUCUGCCCAAUACUAUAAGCAGGGCGCGCGGUUUACAGCAGAAAGCCACCAAACAAUUGAAGACACUGUUGUCAUGUCUUCCUCCAAAACCCCCAUCAGCUGAGAAGAUCAUUGUAAGCCCAGCCAAGAAGCUUAAACAGCAAGAAGAAUGCAGUUAGACUCCUGUCAAUUGCGACUAUAACCUUUUGUUCUUGCAAUAAAACAAGUGAGUCCUCAAGGGUGCAGUCCUAUUAUGCCUCAAAAGCAGUAUUAUAAUCCAUUGCUCCAAUAUCUUUUUGAUAGAACAAUGCAUUCUAAUACUUACAUCUCAUAGAACCUUGCUUAGGUACUUCAAAUUAUGAGCAGCUUUACAAUCAUAAUAGCAUUCAUUGUUUCAAUAUCUUUUGAUAAAACAAUGAAUGCUAUGGUUAUUGCCAUAGAACAAUAUGGUAGUUAGAUUUACAAGCUUAUUAUGCUGGUUAGAAUAGAUUGCUCCAAUAUAUUUUGAUAGAGCAAUAGACUCUAAUUCUUACA